UACGUAGGGUGCGAGCGUUGUCCGGAUUUAUUGGGCGUAAAGGGCUCGUAGGCGGCCUGUCGCGUCGGGGGUGAAAGCCCACUGCUUAACGGUGGGUCUGCUUCCGGUACGGGCGGGCUGGAGUAUGGCAGGGGAGACUGGAAUUCCUGGUGUAGCGGUGGAAUGCGCAGAUAUCAGGAGGAACACCGGUGGCGAAGGCGGGUCUCUGGGCCAUUACUGACGCUGAGGAGCGAAAGCGUGGGGAGCAAACAGG
rnacentral:rRNA from 1 species